AAUUGCACCAAAACUAUUCCCUCUCAUCUCCCAACUUCCAAAACCCCUCAUCUUCCAAAACCGUUCCCUCCUCAUCUCCCAAUAAAACCACAAUUGAAUGCAUGUACUUCAACAAAAUUUUGUAGGAUUAUUGACCUUCCACCUGUUGAAUUGAGAGCUCAAUAGAAUAGAAGAUGAGGUGUUUGUUCAUAAAUCCCAAUAGAAAUCCAAAAGCGACUCGACGAGGGGGGCAACUACCAGCUGAAUUUAAGAAGAUAUAUAAGGUUUGGAUGAGCAAGCUCGUGUGGAUGAAGAAGUGCUCCAAAAAUUAUUAGUUUUUUUUAAUUUAUGUUUUUAUUUUAUUUUCAUCCCAUGACCACUUUUUUGAGUAGGCACUGUUGUAGGUAAAGUCCCUUUCGUAAACUAAAAAGUAUGAUGUGGAGAACUGGAGAUUGGAACCUGAGAUCUCACCCAAAAUUUUCUUAAGCCAGAUACGUUAACUUAUUGUUUAUGUGUUUCAUAUUCUCAAUUUGUUUUGAUACUUGGACAGAAGUGCUUGAUACAACUAGAGCUGGCUCUUUUUUAUCUUUUACAAUGGAAUGUUCAAAAGUUACAUAA